rnacentral:rRNA from 1 species
GACGAACGCUGGCGGCGUGCUUAACACAUGCAAGUCGAACGGAAAGGCCCUGCUUUUGUGGGGUGCUCGAGUGGCGAACGAGUGAGUAACACGUGAGUAACCUGCCCUUGACUUUGGGAUAACUUCAGGAAACUGGGGCUAAUACCGGAUAGGAGCUCCCGCUUCAUGGCGUGGGUGGGACAGUUUCGGCGGUUGGGGAUGGACUCGCGGCUUAUCAUCUUGUAGGUGGGGUAUUGGCUUACCAAGGCUUUGACGGGUAGCCGGCCUGAGAGGGUGACCGGCCACAUUGGGACUGAGAUACGGCACAGACUCCUACGGGAGGCAGCAGUGGGGAAUAUUGCACGAUGGGCGGAAGCCUGAUGCAGCAACGCCGCGUGCGGGAUGACGGCCUUCGGGUUGUAAACCGCUUUCGCCUGUGACGAAGCGUGAGUGACGGUAAUGGGUAAAGAAGCACCGGCUAACUACGUG